rnacentral:rRNA from 1 species
AUUGAACGCUGGCGGCAGGCUUAACACAUGCAAGUCGAGCGGGGGAAGGUAGCUUGCUACUGGACCUAGCGGCGGACGGGUGAGUAAUGCUUAGGAAUCUGCCUAUUAGUGGGGGACAACAUCUCGAAAGGGAUGCUAAUACCGCAUACGUCCUACGAGAGAAAGCAGGGGAUCUUCGGACCUUGCGCUAAUAGAUGAGCCUAAGUCGGAUUAGCUAGUUGGUGGGGUAAAGGCCUACCAAGGCGACGAUCUGUAGCGGGUCUGAGAGGAUGAUCCGCCAAACUGGGACUGAGACACGGCCCAGACUCCUACGGGAGGCAGCAGUGGGGAAUAUUGGACAAUGGGGGGAACCCUGAUCCAGCCAUGCCGCGUGUGUGAAGAAGGCCUUAUGGUUGUAAAGCACUUUAAGCGAGGAGGAGGCUACUUUAGUUAAUACCUAGAGAUAGUGGACGUUACUCGCAGAAUAAGCACCGGCUAACUCUGUGCCAGCCGCCGCGGUAA